rnacentral:lncRNA from 1 species
GUGGAGAGAACUCUGAUUCCUGAUUAGUGAGAAUUUAAGCAGAGUCUUGUCUCUGUGAGUUCAAACUUUACUUGAACUUACCUUCCGAAUAGCACUUUGUCUCAUUUUUAUAGAGAGAGCUUGCUUAAGCUUUAAAAAAAGGCUGUUAGAGAUCUAUUAGGCCAUUAGAGUUCUAUUAAGUUGUUAGGCCGUUAAAGAUCUAUUAGGUCAUUAGAGAUCUGUUAGAUCGUUAGAUUAUUGUAACAGAAUGGCCAGCUGUGCAA